ensembl:lncRNA
GUGUUGUUAGCAUCUGGGCCGCAGGCUGGCAGUUCAGGUGAAUAGGCCGCGGCUGCCCUGUGCCGGGCUGCCUGUGAUCAAAACCAAAGUGGCCGCCAGGGUGCUCUCAGGUGAAGACAAUGUCAGACUCAAUUGGGGCCUCACCUGGCAAGGUGACCCCUGGAGCCGGCGCACGUUGGGGCCACGGGAGCUCUGAAAUGCAAGUAGAGUGGGAGGCUGGAAUAGCCCAGCCUUUUCCACAGACCGCCUGGCACUCUGAAUCUGGGGCAGAUGCAGGCCCUGAGGCCUGGCCCACUGAGGCAAAGGCCCUGGGCCCCGGGAUCUGCAUUUUUAUGUAGCUUCCCAGAAGGUGACGCCCCAGUGUGGAGCAGGAGGGACAGGCCAGAACAAGCAGACAUAUGGCGCCGGGCACAGGAUGCAGAGCGGAGGACCAGCAUGGUGCCCGUGGAGGGAGGCCCUCCCCGGAGACAGCAGACCUUGCCUGAUCAGAGAGAAGAGGCAGCUGUCCUUGAUACAACCGACAGAAGUUGCACUUAAAUGGACUCUGAGUCUGGAAACUUCAGAGGUCACACUACUUCUUCCUUUUCUGGAUGGUGGGCAGAAGGUGCUGCCCCGCACCCACCGAGCAUCCUCUGGUGCCCACCGUCGCACCGCAGCCCUGACUGGCCUGUCCUACGCUCUUGCCAGGUCUUUGCUGGUCUCCUAACCCUCAGUCUCCUCUUCUGCCAGUCCAUCCUCCAAACAGCUGCUGGUGAUUUAAUAAAAAGUAAAAAUCAAUAAGCUCUGACGACGUCACUCUCCUGCUCCCAGCCCUUCCCUGGCAGCCCACAGGAGGGGCAGAGAGUCCGAGGAUGGCACAGCAGGCCCCUUGCACCAUCCAUCACACCGUCUGGAGCCAGCUCCUCCCCAGUAUGCGGGCCAGCCCGUGCCUUCUGUCUCGGCACACGCUGGUUCCUCAGCCCGUGGAGACUUGUCCCUCCUCGUCACCUUGGGUGAA